rnacentral:rRNA from 1 species
UACGUAGGGUGCGAGCGUUGUCCGGAAUUAUUGGGCGUAAAGAGCUCGUAGGCGGUCUGUCGCGUCGGAUGUGAAAACCCAGGGCUCAACCGUGGGCCUGCAUUCGAUACGGGCAGACUAGAGUACGGCAGGGGAGACUGGAAUUCCUGGUGUAGCGGUGAAAUGCGCAGAUAUCAGGAGGAACACCGGUGGCGAAGGCGGGUCUCUGGGCCGAAACUGACGCUGAGGAGCGAAAGCGUGGGGAGCGAACAGG